rnacentral:misc_RNA from 1 species
UUAUUUUCAUAGAUUUGUUGCCUUGUUGGGCAAUGGGCAACAGAAAUGUAUGCUUGUUCUGCUUAUUUAUUUCUACACAGUUAACUGAAUUAACAUGCUUAUGAAUACAAAAACCAAUAAAGAUCAAUCAUUGUGUUCUGCCUACAACCUUCCUGAAUCCUGAUUUUACCCCAUCCUAUAAUCUUUAUAGACAAUUUUGUGGCAAUAAGUAAGUUGCUUCAUUGCUGAGGUGGCUGCUUACAUCUUUUAUCUGAACAAGCAUCUAAAUUUUGAACAGGGUAGCUUGCGCUUUUGCUAGCCAAUCUGGAGAGAUCUGAUAAUGAUACCAGACCGGAACAGCAGAAAUUGAACCAAGUUUAUUGUCUGAAAUCUAUAGUCCAGUAUCUGACUCUCAUCUUGACACAGGCUUCUGCAGAAGAGCAGUCAAGUAAACCUCCCCAUUCUUCAA